CUGGUGUUAUAUUUUUUUCGAGUUUCAUAAAAUUAUUAACAUCACAUAUAUGCUUAAUUAGGGGAUCAUUGGACAAGUUCACAUGGUGCAUGAAAUUCAAUAAAUAAUGGUUAUUUGUAUCACUAGAGACCAAUCCUCACUUGCAAACAAAAUUAAACCCAGUAAAAAUUAAGCUUUCUCACACGUAUCCAAUGGUGCCCUGGCUAUCCUUUUCAGUACAUAUUAUUGUUCUUGUUCUUGCUUGCAACAUCUUGGCUGCCUCUGGCAAUAAUGAGACAGACCUGCUUGCCCUGCUCAAAUUCAAGGCCAACAUUAAUGGCGACCCGCUAGGAGUUGUCCAUUCAUGGAAUUCUACCCUGAACUUCUGCCAUUGGCAUGGUGUUACGUGUGGCCGUAGACACCAGAGGGUGACUGUGCUAGACUUGCAGUCCCUCAAGCUCUCUGGCUCCAUAUCACCCCAUGUUGGCAAUUUGAGCUUUCUAAGGUAAUUAAACCUCCAAAACAAUAGCUUCACUCAAGCGAUCCCUCCCCAAAUCGGUCGUUUACACCGUCUGCAGAAUUUAUUUCUGCAGAACAACUCGUUUAGCGGCGAAAUCCCACCUAACAUAUCUGGUUGUUCUAACCUUGUUACAUUCCAAGUUCAAAAUAACCAGCUGGAAGGAUCAAUUCCAAUGGAGCUUGGCUUCUUGUCCAAGGUUCAAAUCAUUCAUCUGCAAAGAAACAAUCUGACAGGAACCAUCCCUCCAUCUGUGGGGAAUUUGUCAUCCCUUCAAGCAAUCUAUGCCAGUGAUAAUAAUUUCUUUGGGAGAUUCCCUCAUUCUCUAGGCCAAUUAAUGAAUCUUACUAUAUGGGAUCUAUCCACAAAUGGGUUUUCAGGUACCAUCCCACCAUCCAUCUUCAAUCUUUCUUCGAUUGUGCUUUUUGAUGUAGCUUAUAAUCAGUUUGAAGGUAGCCUUCCCUCUGAGAUAGGCAAUACUUUACCAAAUAUUAAAUUUCUUUCCAUCUCCUUCAAUAACUUCACGGGUUCAAUUCCUAUUUCAAUAUCCAAUGCUUCAAACAUAGUCAGACUUCAGCUAGCUAGUAAUAAGCUUACUGGGAAAGUGCCUUCCGUGGGAAACCUACACAAGCUCAAAGGGUUUUCUGUUUCAAAAAACUACCUGGGUAGUGGCGAAGAUGAUGACCUGAGUUUUCUCCCAUCCUUGACAAACGCCACAGAUUUAGAAAGAUUAGGAAUAGAGGAGAACAAUUUUGGAGGGAGGUUACCUCAACAAAUCUGCAACUUCUCAAGAAACCUCUCAGAAAUAUAUUUCCAUGACAAUCAAAUAUAUGGAAAAAUCCCCAGUGGAAUUGAGAACCUCAUCAGCUUGAAAAUUUUCCAAUUAAAUGGUAACAAACUUUCAGGCAAUAUUCCUUCUAAUAUCGGAAAGCGUCGAAACCUCAGGAUAUUGUAUCUUUUUACCAACAAUUUCUCAGGCUACAUUCCAUCAUCUUUAGGAAACCUGACCGAGUUGCUUCAAUUCAGCUUGAGAGAAAAUAAUCUUCAUGGCAAUAUCCCUUCCAGCCUAGGGAAAUGCCAAAAACUGCUAGCUUUCGAACUUUCUUUCAACAAUCUUAGUGGUACCAUACCCCCACAACUUAUGAGUCUCUCCUCUUUAUCUAUACUUGUUGAUUUGUCUUAUAACCAUUUGAAUGGUGAUCUUCCCAUAGAAGUUGGAAAGUUGGGUAGCUUGGGGGUUUUGGAUGUUUCUAAUAAUAUGUUGUCGGGUAAGAUUCCUGAAAGUCUUGGAAGUUGCAAUAGUUUAGAAGUGUUGCACAUGGCUGGAAACUUUUUCCAAGGGCCCAUUCCUUCAUCUUUUGAAUCAUUGAGGGGUCUUCGAGUAUUAGAUCUUUCCCGUAACAAUUUGUCUGGCAAAAUUGCAGAGUUUCUGCAAGAUUUUAAGUUAUUGGCAAAGUUAAAUCUAUCAUACAAUGAUUUUGAAGGUGAAGUGCCACUAAACGGAGUUUUCAAGAAUGCAAGGGCAACAUGGAUCAAGGGAAAUAAUAAACUUUGUGGUGGGAUUCCUGAAUUUCAGCUGCCUAUAUGCGAAAUAUCAACUUACGGUGAUGUAUAUGGUUAUGGCAUAAUCUUAUUGGAAAUGUUCACAGCGAAGAGACCUACUGAUAGCAUAUUUAUGGAAGGUUUGAGCCUUCAUAAUUUUGUCAAAAUAGCUUUACCUGAAAGAGUCGCAGAUAUUGUAGAUCCAAUUCUUCUUGAAGGAAGAUCCAUGAUCCUGGGCAACUCAAUUUCAAACCAUAAUCACAAUUUUAGUAGCGUUCAGAAUAACAUAAUUAUUGAGUGCUUGAUUUCAAUAUUUGAAAUUGGAAUAUCUUGUUCUGUUGAGUUACCAAGAGAACGAAUGAAUAUCAAUGAUGUUGUUGCUCAACUUAGUUCAACAAAAAAGAAACUUCUUAAAGCUCGAGUGCAUUAAGAGAAAGGGAAUACAUUUGACGAAGCAGGUAUUCAUUUUGUCAUCUAUCUUCAAAUCUAAGUAUAUAUGAAGUCACACAUAUAUAUGUAUAUUGCUUGUCAUUUUUUUCUCUAUGUUAAAAAUUUAAAAUGUUAUGAUAAUUGUUAUAAAGUCUUAAUAUCAACUUAAAAUCAAAGAUUUAGAACUCUAAUUAAUUAUUCUUAAUUCUUUUAUUCGAAGGUAUACAAGAUGACUCAAGUGGAAAGCAUGCAGUACUCCUAAUUGACAGAAACUAGCACAAGCAUUUAUGUUAAUAAAUAGUAAAGAUGAUAGUGCGACGGCAAAUUGUAUUUCCUAUUAAGCUUUUGAUCGUGUUGUUGUUUCAUCUUAUGGAUAAUGGGCCUCUACUAAGCUUUGAAAUAAUUUUGUAUUGGAUAUUGUUCUUAGGUAAUGUCUUUAAUUAAACUAUCUUUUAUAAUUGAUUUGUG
rnacentral:misc_RNA from 1 species